UAAAUCUCUAGAGGUCCCUUCCAGCCCCUACAAUUCAGCCAGUAAGUUGCUGUUUUUCAGUUCCUACCAUGUCUGGACAUUUUUCUAGGAUAGAAGUGGCACUGAUGGCUUUCUUUUCCUAGGACUCACUUGUAACGUAUUUGCAGCUGCGGUGAGAUUUUUCCACUCUGUGUUCAGCCAAGUACUCUUCUCCUGAAAACAUUAUAAUGGCAUAAACGUUGACUUAAAAUACAUGAAAAUAAAUAGGCUGGCAACAGAAGGUUCUCCUUCUAAGGCAGAAAAGCCACUUGCACCACACUAGAUGUAGAAGAUUUCAUCAGAGACCAAUCCACUCCAGUUGAACUUUAUCAAAGUUGUAAAAAUAAAUGUUAGCAUUUAAAACUCCCUUAGAAGCCAAAUAGCUGAAUGUUGCUCUGUUUAUCUUCCCCAGAGUAUAUUUAUUUAUGAUUAUUGUUUAUAUAUUGAACGUAAGCCCAAAAAGAGAACUUGUUUGCAAGUUUAACUAUGCAGGAUGUGACUGUUACUUCCCUGUACACCACGUGACCUGGCUUUUUUUUUUUUUUGUCUCCCUCUUCACUACAGAAGAACUAAAUUCAGAAAACUCGGGUGAAAUUACUCUGUUGUCAAAACUUCAUAAUGACCUCACAAACAAGCUGGAUACCAGUCCUAAUGACGUUUCUUCUUCUAUUACAUUUUUGGAGAGCAAAGGUAUAUGCUUCUGGAAACUCAGAGGAAAUAGAUUUCACGUAUCUUAUUAUAGGAGUUACUCUGGGAGCCUUUCUAGCAAUUGCUUUUAUAGCAGUAAUAAUUUGCAUGAUCAAAAAACAAAUGCUUGACCAUGUCUUCAGAGAGUCAGAGGGCAAAAUGGAUAGAAGGUCAAACAUGGGAUCAAGCCAGAACAGGUGUGUUUCUGUGUGCACGUGGGGCUGGAGACAAUCUGCUCCACCAUUUUUUUUUUUUACUGACACCCAGAGAGUUCAAGUCUAUCCUGUGUGGGCUGUGACAAGCCAUACAGCUGCCUCAUUCUCCUGCAUCCCAGCUACACAGCUGGGAUUCCUCAGCAUAAGGGAUAGUGCAGGCUACCUACAUUAUGGCUUGACUGUGCUGCAGAGCAGCUCCACAUGA
rnacentral:lncRNA from 1 species